rnacentral:tRNA from 1 species
GUAUAGCUCAGUGGUAGAGUGCAUGCUUAGCAGUCAUGAGGUCCUUGGUUUAAUCCCUGGUAC